UCUCCGUUGGUGAACCAGCGGAGGGAUCAUUACCGAGUUUACAACUCCCAAACCCCUGUGAACAUACCAUUUGUUGCCUCGGCGGUGCCUGCUUCGGCAGCCCGCCAGAGGACCCAAACCCUUGAUUUUAUACAGUAUCUUCUGAGUAAGUGAUUAAAUAAAUCAAAACUUUCAACAACGGAUCUCUUGGUUCUG
rnacentral:misc_RNA from 1 species